GUUGAGCUGAUGAUGAUACGUGCUUCGACAAGACUGCUGAAGCCGGCUUAGAAAAGCGAGUCCCAGUGAUGAUCACAGCAUCUGGAUCUUCUGUCGUUUUCAACGGACUCGGCAGAUUAGGCCUUUCCAUGCCUUCCUUGGACGAAUUCGGGAGAUCCUCUUGAUCUUCAUAUUUAUCCUUGGUCGGGUUAUCCUGAAUCGGCACCAGUUUUUCAAUAGGCUCCGGAGCUGUAG
rnacentral:lncRNA from 1 species